UUGACGUCAACAACGCAAGUGGAAUUGAUUCCCGCUCGCGAAGGGCAUUGGGGGCGGUGCUGCUUCUCGUGUUUACCGCCCUGAAGCCGGUUGCGGAAAUGCCACGUUCCUAACCAGAUCACGGUUCGGAUGAGCCAGCUAUCGUUGCCGGGCCGCUGAGUCGAGUGGAGGAAUUACGUAAUGGAAAGAAGGGCUGAUGAUGAUGAGCGAGUAAACAGCUGUUUCCCAUAAACGUGUUAAACUCUACAAACACUUUUCUCUUUCUGCCGUCUACCGUUUUAAAAGUACAAAAAACAAGUGGAGCGCGAACAAGAAGACACCGCCCAACACGAUCUGCGCCGUCGGUUCUCAACCCGUGGCCGCAGUCGGUGACAUCGACAACGUGCAGGAGAAAUGAACCUUCCCCCAUUGGUUCAUCUGCCGCCCCGCGAGAUGGAAUCGAACCUGCGACGACAUCUGGAUUGCAAGUCCAGCGUGUUAACACAUUUUUUUUUAAUUUUUAAUGUGCGUGGAUCAAACUUGAAAAUGUUGGUGUACACCAGUGUUCUCCACUAAUUUUCAAAGGCUGCUCACUUCCACCGAUGAAGGCAUCAAUCAGUGAGAGGGCCGUCAACACUUGGCUGCCGGGGGGUGUUUAGACGUUUGCGCAUUGUCAGGGGCCCGCACUAAAGGCCACCAGGGGCUGCCAGUGGCCCGCGGGCCUUGCAAUGAAACACACCGCUGUGUGUACGCAAUGAUAGAUGUAUCCUCGCACUGCCCUCCCACGUGCGCGGGACACAAGCAAUGAUGAUGAUUGCUUGUGUUGCAGUCGAAACGUCGUGAUAAUUUCAUUGUUUUAAAUUUUUAUUAUUUUAUUGUUUCCCUUCUAACGUGGCUUUACCGAAAGAACCAAGAAUAUGAAUCCCUGCAGUCACGAAAGCUUUACAUCACAAUAUUGUUCUUCUUUAUUACGUAGUAUGACGUUCAAGAAGACUGUGGUUGUGCCAAGCGUGAGCUUCCUUGUCCCUCUCGACCUUAAUUUGGAAUGAUAACCCGGUCGACUCGGUCAGCAUCGUCCGUCUAAACGUUACAAGCUUAUCCACCCACGCACACAUGCAGUGCCAAACGCAACGGGCAAUCAGUUGCAGCCGGCAGCACCGUCCUGAAAGGAAGUCCCGAGGCGCACGAGUUUAUUGUUUUUAUGAUUUAUAUUUCACUGGUUUGCUGUCCACGCUCCAGUAGCGACCAGGAGUUUUGUGCCGGGCUUAAACUCUCACUUUUGAUAUGUUUCGGAACGCUGCUAUAAGCGGCUGGUUUUGCGGUGCGGUCGGGAUCAUCGGCGUAAGGCACUACCACUAGAGUAUCACGGAACGCCCAUGCAUAAUAUUAAUAUAAUAUUGCGCCCUAUGUGUUUAUAAUAAGAAGUACCAUGCGUGACAACAAUAUAGGACAAGGGGAAUAUGGCGCGCCAAAGUCAUUCCCGGAGUUAUUGCGAUCCCGGACUGUUAUUACGGUAUGUAUUAUAUACGCGCAUGUAUAAGCACUGUCUAUAUGUGUGUGCACGCGUGUGUGUGGUUUUGUGUCAGUGUCUGGUUCCAAUUCGAUGUACGAAACAGUGCCGCCCUGCACAUCAAUCGUUUAUAGCUACCGUAUUAUCUGGUUUAUAAGAUGCACUGGAAAGUAAGAUGAACCCCAACCGGUGUCAAUACAGUUCUACAAAUCUGGUCAUACGCAAAUAUAUAUUCGUACCGGAUCAUAAAAUGCAUCCGAAACGUUGGCUUUAAAAUACAUUGAGGGUGGGGGGGGGGGGGGUGGAAAGUGCGUCUUAUAAUCCAGAG